UCGACUAUAGCAAACUUUUAA
rnacentral:piRNA from 1 species